rnacentral:rRNA from 1 species
UGCAAAAUCCUAUGAACCAUUGAGUCUUUGAAUGCAAGUUGAGCCCAAAGCCAUUAGGGUAUGGGCACGUCUGCCUGGGCAUCUCGC